AGCACUCUGUAUCCGUGCUGAGAUUUCGUCAAAGACCAAACCACAAAGGCUGAUGAGACUCCCAGAAUAAAUGAAGCG
rnacentral:pre_miRNA from 1 species